CAGCAGCCAUGGCUUGAAAACCAGAAAAAAUGAAGAAAGGAAGAAUAAAGAAAGCAGCAGCCAUGGCUUGAGAACCACCAAGACGGAAGAAAAGAAGAUGGAGAAGAAGCUGAUGAUGAGCAAGAAAGAAAGAAAGGAAGAAAGAAAGAAAGGAAGAAAGGAACAAGAAAUGGAAGAGGAAGUCAAGAAUAACAAACCUGAAUGCAGGACCAGCUAAGUUUCUAGAAUCUUCUUCUUCUUCUUCUUGUCACCAUCCUUCUUUUCUUCUUCCUCAUCAGAACCAACAUCUUCAAUUUCAGGUUUGUCUUCCGACUCUUUCUCUUCUUUUUCUUUUUCUUCUUCUCGGACUUCUCCUCAUCUGAGGAUGCAACAUCGUUAUUCUCUUUGUCCUUCUUUUUCUUUUCCUUUUUCACAGACUCCACAUCAGGGGAUGCAGCUUCAUCAGCUUCUUUCUUCUUUUUCUUCUUCUUUUCUUUUUUCAGUUCAGACUUAUCCAAUGCUUCCUCGACUACCUCUACCUUUGGUUUCUUUAAAGCACUGGGUGCAGGGGAUACAUCUAAAUCAUCCAAUUUUCUCUUGUUAGCGUCCUCAUCAUCUUCCUUGUGUUUCUUCUUUUUCUUCUCAACCUCAACUGCAGCACCAUCAGCAGCCACUGCAUCAGGAUCAGAUUUCACAGUAGCAGCAGCAAGACCAGCAACUAGAGUAUCCUCUUUGGUAGAUAAAACAACAUUUCUCGUCCACUCAGCUGGAGUUUUAUCAUUUGGCUUACCAUGUUUAUCCAACUUACCCUCAGCAACCAACUUCUUCUUCAUUGAAGCCCUUGGUCCUAAGCCCCAUUUCCUAGGAUAAGUAUCCCUAUCCAUCACCACUCUCUUAAUCUUUGCAACCACACCAUGAUCACAAGUUCCCAUAACAGCUGUGGUCAUCUCUGCUAUCCCCAACGCGAUGGCCUCCCCCUUAGUAGUCAUCAGCACAACCUCCUCUCCAACCUCAAUAUCAUUCUCAAAUCUUAAAAGCCCAGGAAUCAUCAACUUUGCACCAUAGCAAAUAGCAUUAACUGCCGAAUCCUUAACCACCAACCUCUUAUAACUAGUCAAAACUACCUCCAACGGCAUAAUGACCCUCCUCAAGUAAGUCUCAUCCCUAUAGUUAUCGUACAUCCAUUGUGCAUCCAUCACAUCAUGCAUUGUCACCAUAUUAUUCUUCUCACCCAAAAUCCCAGACCUCACUCUCCUAAGCUCCUGCAUAUGUCCACCCACACCCAAAAGCAACCCAAGAUGAACACACAAUGUCCUAACAUAAGUACCCGCCUCACAGGAUAUCCAAAAAACAACCAAAUGCCUUUCAGCAUCAUACUCAAGCAACUUACUUUCAUAAAUAGUCCU
rnacentral:misc_RNA from 1 species